rnacentral:rRNA from 1 species
UACGUAGGGUCCGAGCGUUGUCCGGAAUUAUUGGGCGUAAAGGGCUCGUAGGCGGUUUGUCGCGUCGGGAGUGAAAACUCAGGGCUCAACCCUGAGCGUGCUUCCGAUACGGGCAGACUAGAGGUAUGCAGGGGAGAAACGGAAUUCCUGGUGUAGCGGUGGAAUGCGCAGAUAUCAGGAGGAACACCGGUGGCGAAGGCGGUUCUCUGGGCAUUACCUGACGCUGAGGAGCGAAAGCAUGGGGAGCGAACAGG